rnacentral:rRNA from 1 species
CAGCCCCACGGUAAUACGUAGGGUGCAAGCGUUAAUCGGAAUUACUGGGCGUAAAGCGUGCGCAGGCGGUUAUAUAAGACAGAUGUGAAAUCCCCGGGCUCAACCUGGGAACUGCAUUUGUGACUGUAUAGCUAGAGUACGGCAGAGGGGGAUGGAAUUCCGCGUGUAGCAGUGAAAUGCGUAGAUAUGCGGAGGAACACCGAUGGCGAAGGCAAUCCCCUGGGCCUGUACUGACGCUCAUGCACGAAAGCGUGGGGAGCAAACAGGAUUAGAUACCCGCGUAGUCCCUGUCUCUUAUACA